CCUACGGGAGGCUGCAGUGAGGAAUAUUGGUCAAUGGACGAGAGCCUGAACCAGCCAAGUAGCGUGAAGGAUGACUGCCCUAUGGGUUGUAAACUUCUUUUAUAUGGGAAUAAAGUGAUCCACGUGUGGGUUUUUGUAUGUACCUUAUGAAUAAGGAUCGGCUAACUCCGUGCCAGCAGCCGCGGUAAUACGGAGGAUCCGAGCGUUAUCCGGAUUUAUUGGGUUUAAAGGGUGCGUAGGUGGCUCUUUAAGUCAGUUGUGAAAGUUUGCGGCUCAACCGUAGAAUUGCAGUUGAAACUGGCAGGCUUGAGUACAGUAGAGGUAGGCGGAAUGCGUGGUGUAGCGGUGAAAUGCUUAGAUAUCACGAAGAACCCCGAUUGCGAAGGCAGCCCACUAGGCUGUGACUGACGCUGAGGCACGAAAGUGUGGGGAUCAAACAGGAUUAGAUACCCCAGUAGUC
rnacentral:rRNA from 1 species